rnacentral:rRNA from 1 species
GAGAGUUUGAUCCUGGCUCAGAAUCAACGCUGGCGGCGUGCCUCAGACAUGCAAGUCGAACGCGAAAGUUCCCUUCGGGGAGCGAGUAGAGUGGCGCACGGGUGAGUAACACGUAGGUAAUCUACCUUUGGAUGGGGAAUAACAACCGGAAACGGUUGCUAAUACCGCAUAAUGCAGCGGCACCUAAUGGUGACAGUUGUUAAAGCGGGGGAUCGAAAGACCUCGCGUCUGAAGAGGAGCCUGCGGCGGAUUAGCUAGUUGGUAAGGUAACGGCUUACCAAGGCGAUGAUCCGUAACCGGCCUGAGAGGGCGGUCGGUCACACUGACACUGACAUACGGGUCAGACUCCUACGGGAGGCAGCAGUCGGGAAUUUUGGGCAAUGGGCGAAAGCCUGACCCAGCAACGCCGCGUGAAGGAUGAAAUCCCUCGGGAUGUAAACUUCGCAAGAACAGGAAGAAUAAGUAGGGGACAAUACCCCCUAUGAUGACGGUACUGUUUGUAAGCUCCGGCUAACUCCGUGCCAGCAGCCGCGGUAAUACGGGGGGAGCAAGCGUUGUUCGGAUUUACUGGGCGUAAAGGGCGCGUAGGCGGCCACCGCAAGUCGAUUGUGAAAUCUCCGGGCUUAACCCGGAAAGGUCAACCGAUACUGCGGGGCUAGAGUGCGGAAGGGGCAACUGGAAUUCUUGGUGUAGCGGUGAAAUGCGUAGAUAUCAAGAGGAACACCUGCGGCGAAGGCGGGUUGCUGGGCUGACACUGACGCUGAGGCGCGAAAGCUAGGGGAGCGAACGGGAUUAGAUACCCCGGUAGUCCUAGCCUUAAACGAUGAAUGCUUGGUGUCUGGGGUUUUAUAGUCCCCGGGUGCCGUCGCUAACGCUUUAAGCAUUCCGCCUGGGGAGUACGGUCGCAAGACUGAAACUCAAAGGAAUUGACGGGGACCCGCACAAGCGGUGGAGCAUGUGGUUCAAUUCGACGCAACGCGAAGAACCUUACCUGGGCUAGAAUGCCUCUGACAACUCCAGAGAUGGAGCCUCUUAGGGAAACCUAGGCAGAGUGCAAGGUGCUGCAUGGCUGUCGUCAGCUCGUGUCGUGAGAUGUUGGGUUAAGUCCCGCAACGAGCGCAACCCUUAUCGAUAGUUGCUAGCGGUUCGGCCGAGCACUCUAUUGAGACUGCCGUUGACAAAACGGAGGAAGGUGGGGAUGAC